rnacentral:misc_RNA from 1 species
GUAGGUGAACCUGCGGAAGGAUCAUUAUUGAACUCAUCUACUGGGUUGCUGCUGGUUCCACUAUGGUUCAUGUGCACGCCUAGUUCUUGAUCUCUUUUCCACCUGUGCACUUUUGUAGGCCAUUCUGCGCCUUGGUUGAUUGUCUGUUGGGUCAAGGUCUUGCUUUUGUGAGGCUUUUGGAUUGGAGGACUGGGUUAUUGAGUUAGCUCUUCUUCUAGGACUUUCAGCUGAGCACGGAUUAGGUGUCUACGUUUUUUACACAAACCCCAUUUUGUAUGUCUAGAAAGUCCAUUACUGGUCGGAAGACCUUUAAUCUUUACACAACUAUUGACAACGGAUCUCUUGGCUCAC